rnacentral:rRNA from 1 species
CAGCCGUAAACAAUGUGCGUUAGGUGUGUCGGUAACCACGCGUUACUGAUGCGCCGAAGAGAAAUCGUGAAACGCACCACCUGGGAAGUACGGUCGCAAGGCUGAAACUUAAAGGAAUUGGCGGGGGAGCACCACAACAGGUGGAGCCUGCGGUUUAAUUGGACUCAACGCCGGACAUCUCACCGGAUAAGACAGCUGAAUGAUUGCCGGGCUGAAGACUCUGCAUGACUAGCUGAGAGGUGGUGCAUGGCGUAGACGUCU